CCAAGUGCCUAAUAGGUCUGCUGAUAGGUAUGUUGUUAAGACUGAGGCAUCUACUUGGGAGAGAGAAUAGACAGCAAGGAGAAACCAGAGUGAAGAAGAAGGAAGUUGGCCCUCGGUGUGACUGGAAAACAUGGAGAAAUAAAUGUUCCUGGGGAAGAUGCAGAUGAGGUAGUUUCUCCCUCUGCUUGGAAUGAUUUUGAAUCAGUCUCCACAAUGGGAAAGGCAGCUAGUCUCAUGAAUCCAAGCAAGUUUUAAAUUGGUCCUUCCAGAAGAGGAUUUCUUUGAUGAAAGACCACAUUUCUGUCAGAAGUUUUUGAGCUAAAUACUUUGAAGAUAGAGAAUUAAAGAAACACACACCAAGACUGAUUAUAAAUUUCAUAACAUGAGGUUUUACUCAGAAACACACUUCUGAUGCAGACCACAGAGGAAGGAGCCA